rnacentral:tRNA from 3 species
GCCCGGAUGGUGAAACUGGUAGACACCCGAGACUUAAAAUCUCGUGCUCGCAAGGGCGUGCCGGUUCGAUUCCGGCUCCGGGCACCA